rnacentral:rRNA from 1 species
GUACACGCUGUGACUAGCAUAUCAAUAAGCGGAGGAAAAGAAACUAACAAGGAUUCCCCUAGUAACGGCGAGUGAAGCGGGAAGAGCUCAAAUUUGAAAUCUUAAAGGGUUUCCCUUUACGAAUUGUUGUUUAAAGAAGUGUUUUCUGUUGAGGUUUUGGUAAAAGUUCUUUGGAAUAGGACAUCAUAGAGGGUGAGAAUCCCGUAUUUGACCUUUACUUUCAACUUUGUGAUACACUUUCAAAGAGUCGGAUUGUUUGGGAAUGCAGUCCAAAAUGGGUGGUAAAUUUCAUCUAAAGCUAAAUAUUGGCGAGAGACCGAUAGCGAACAAGUACCGUGAGGGAAAGAUGAAAAGAACUUUGAAAAGAGAGUUAAACAGUACGUGAAAUUGUCAAAAGGGAAGCGUUUGACACCAGUGUUGUUUUUCUGAAAAUCAAUUAAAGAACUGUUUAUGCUAAGCUGUUUAGACUUUAUCAGCUAUCUGUUUAGUUUUGAGCUUUUCUUUAAUGCACUUUUCAGUUAACAAGUCAACAUCAAUUUCUUUUGCUGUAAAAAGCUUGAGGAAGGUGGCUUGAGAUUCGUCUUAAGUGUUUAUAGCCUCUUGCCUAUGCAGUCGGAGAGAUUGAGGUCUGCAGCGUAGAUCCUUCGGGGCUAAAUGCAUUUGUGCUAAGUUAUAGCAUUUUAUAGACAACUUGUUGACUAUGAUUUGUCUUGUAGCUUACUCGCUUAUGUUAUUUUACCUACGCUUAGGAUGUUGAGUCGUAGAGCACGCAG